GAAAACUCCGGUGGUAUGCGAUGGGUCCGCGUCUGAUUAGGCAGUUGGCGGGGUAACGGCCCACCAAACCGACGAUCAGUAGCCGGCCUGAGAGGGCGGACGGCCACACUGGGACUGAGACACGGCCCAGACUCCUGCGGGAGGCAGCAGUGGGGAAUAUUGCACAAUGGGGGAAACCCUGAUGCAGCGACGCCGCGUGAAGGAAGAAGUAUCUCGGUAUGUAAACUUCUAUCAGCAGGGAAGAAAACAGACGGUACCUGACUAAGAAGCCCCGGCUAACUACGUGCCAGCAGCCGCGGUAAUACGUAGGGGGCAAGCGUUAUCCGGAUUUACUGGGUGUAAAGGGGGCGCAGACGGCAUGGCAAGCCCGGUGUGAAAGGCAGGGGCAUAACCCCUGGACUGCACUGGGAACUGUCAGGCUGGAGUGCCGGAGGGGUAAGCGGAAUUCCUGGUGUAGCGGUGAAAUGCGUAGAUAUCAGGAGGAACACCGGCGGCGAAGGCGGCUUACUGGACGGCAACUGACGUUGAGGCCCGAAAGCGUGGGGAGCGAACAGGAUUAGAUACCCUGGUAGUCCACGCCGUAAACGAUAUAUGCCAGGUGUCGG
rnacentral:rRNA from 1 species